UGUGGAUGUAAUUAAGUUUUAGUACCUUAACGUAAAAUAAUCUGGGGAAACAGAUGGACGGUGUAGAUAUAGAAUACAUGUAUCAAGGUGGGCCCCACUGUAAGUGCCGCACCAUCUUGGGUGAGGCCUACGCCGCACCUAAUCCGCUCUACCUACAAAACCACAGCGAUUUCGUCGCUUUUCUAAAGAACGCGGAUUUCUCGAGCCCGUGAUAAGAUCGAGCAGGUCGAAGCUGUGCUGAAGAUCGAUGCGGGCAACUCAUUUCUUCUGCUGUGAUUCUAACGAUUCUGCUUACGUGAUGUUCUAUUCGGAGAUCGAACGUAUAAAGAAGAAGCUACUCGAGAUCUCUUGGAGGAGGUCGGUUUACAACGUUCAAGAUCUUGGCGAAGCUGGACAUGGAACAGGUUUUAUGGGCGGAAGAUCGCGAGAGCAGAGCCGAGCUUCAUUACCAGAAGAAACACGAAUCGUUGGUUUCUUUCAAAAAGAUGUAGAAAUCAUGGUGGUGAGAUUGAUCGAGUGCGAUUGUGAGGCUCGGCGAUGCGUGGUUUCUGUAGUUGGAAUGAGUGGUGUUGGAAAAACUAAAAGAACAUUCUGCGAUGGACAUUGAUCAGCUUUUUAUGUGGAUAGCUAGAUCUCGUCUCCACAGGCUACGACUUUUAAGAGAAGCCGAGAGCUGGGAAUUGUUUUGUAACAAAACAUUCUUAGAAAAAAAUAUCGGCUGCCUCCAAUAUAAAAUGUGGAAAAAUGUCAUGGUCUACCUCUUGCAAUUGUUGUCAUAAGAGGUCUCUUAUUAAGGAAAGAAAAGUUUUCUUACUGUUUAGAGUGACCGAAAUAUUGGAGGAAGUUGCAGAAGAUUGCCUGGAGGAGCUAAUCUAAAGAGAUCUAGUUCAAAUAUUGGAAAGAAAUUCUACUGUGAGAGUUAAAAGCUGCCGAAUCCAUGAUAUUAUAUGAGAUCUCCCUAUCUCAAAAGCCAAUAAAGAAAGAUUUCUCAACGUCCAUCAUGCAGAUAGAUUCACUCUCUCCAUGUAAAGCACGCCGGCUUGCUAUUCAUCAUGGCAUCUAAGGACUGUUACGGUUCAGAGUGGCUGAAACAUUGGAGAAAGUUGCAGAAGAUAUCUUGGAUGAGCUAAUCCAAGAGGUUUAGUUCAAAUAGUGGAAAGAAAUUUAAUUGGGGGAGUUAAAAGCUGCCGAAUCCAUGAUGUUCUAUGAGAUUCUCCAUCUCAAAAGCCAAGGAAGAAAGAUUUCUUGACGUCCAAAUUCUCCCUCUCCAUGUAAAGCACACCAACUUGCCAUUCAUCCUGACAUCUGGCAUCUAGUGUCUGAAAUAUUAGAGGAAGAUGCGAAAGAUUGUCUGGAGGAGCUAAUCUAAAGAAGUCUAGUUCAAAUAGUGGAAAGAAAUUCCAUUGUGGGAGUUAAAAGCUGCCGAAUCCAUGAUAUUCUAUGAGAUCUCCCCAUCUCAAAAACCAAGGAAGAAAGAUUUCUCAGCGUCCAUGCAGAUAGAUUCACUCUCUCCAUGUAAAGCAUGCUGGCUUGCUAUUCAUCUUGGCAUCCGUAUCCAAGGACUCUUACGGUUCAGAGUAGUUGAAACAUUGGAGGAAGUUGCAGAAGAUUGCUUGGGGGAGCUAAUCCAAAGAGGUUUAGUUCAAAUAGUGGAAAGAAAUUUCAUUGGGGGAGUUAAAAGCUGCAAAAUUUAUAUUGUUCUAUGAGAUAUCUCAAUCUCAAAAGCCAAGGAAGAAAGAUUUCUCGAUGUCCAGAUUCCGUCUCUCCAUGUAAAGCACACCAACUUGCUAUUCAUCUUAGCAUCUGGCAUCUGUGAGAAGAUCCUUACGGUUUGGAGUGGCCAGAAUAUUGGAGGAAGUUGAAGAAUGCUUGGAGGAGCUAAUCCAAAGAGUUCUAGUUCAAAUAGUGCAAAGAAAUUCUAUUGGGGGAAUUAAAAGUUGCCGAAUCCAUGAUGUAGAUCUCCCCAUUUCAAAAGCUAAGGAAGAAAGAUUUUUUGGCAUCCAUAUGGGGACAUUCUCUCUCUUCAUGCUGGAUGACUUGGACUCUAGAUUAUCCUUGGCGUCUUAUACAGGCGGAAUGAAUAGAUGCAGAUUCAGUAUUGAGGGGCUAGGUCAUAAAUCCAAAACCCCAUCAAAAUCCUUUAGGAGAGGAAUGAAAAAAGGAUCUCAAGGCUUAAGUCACUUGGUCGAUCACUUCGCUUCGGGGUUUCUAGUGCUGUGUUUCCGGAAGAUCUCAAGGUCUCGGAGAAGAAGAUAUUUGAUCCUCAAGAUAAAUUCCUUCAUAUAAGGAAUAGGCUUUUUGUCAUAUCUUGUGUUCUUGCUGUCGGUGGAUCCUUUGUUCUUGUAUUUUCCAGUUGUCGAUAAAUAAAUCAAAUUGCCAUAGUGCGAACUGUCAUUGACGCUUUUUAUGUUAUUCGCAUGGCUCUUCAAUUCCGGACAGCUUAAAUCACUCCAUCUCGAGUUUUUGUGAGAGGCGAACUUGUGAUAGACCCUGUAUUUGAGAUGGUACUAUAUCAUCAACUUUCUUGC